rnacentral:lncRNA from 1 species
AUGUAUAUAACAGAGUGGGUAUUCUGUAUCUAUAUAGCUCUGAAUAUACGGGAUUGGAUUUUCAGAAGUGGUCAGUGCUGGCCCUCAUGUACUUUGAUGGGAGUAGACUUAAGUCAACAUUGUGGCUCCUGCAACACCACCAGUCUUCAGAUGUGUAACAUGGAUUGUACCCACUUCAAACAAUCUAAAACCUCAUUUAUAAUUUUUCAUACAAGGGGCCUCACUUUAAAACAAGUGCUGCAGGCAAGAAGGUAUGUGGCACACAUCUUCGGUUCCCUUGGUGGACAAGAAAGGACUACAACACAAACACAUCUAAUGUGAUAAGGUAAGAGAAGAAGUGAGAAAGCUUACAGGAAUCCAAAUUGUCCAGACACUAGAAAAAUUAAAACACCCAAAUCUAGGCUCAACAGAGCAUGGAAAUAUGAUGAAAAGCAGGGCUAUUAUUUUCAGUGAGUUUAUAGAUACAUAUGCAAAUAGAAUAAAACUAGGAACAUAUUAAAGGGAUCUGACUGA